UAUCUGGAUUACAAUGAAAUAGGGAUCAAAUCUCUGAAAUCUAGAUUUAAACCUUUGCUUAGGCCUAGAUCUACAGGCCCUCUACUUUGCAUGCACGCCAAACUCCAUAGAAACACGAGAUGAAGCUUCAAAUUGAAGUGCUUUCGCAAGGCCACAAGGGAGGGAAGAGAAGCUCAGGUGUGAUGCCUCACACCAGUAAGGGGAUGCCCAUAAUGGGUCCUACGGC
rnacentral:lncRNA from 1 species